rnacentral:rRNA from 1 species
GACGAACGCUGGCGGUGUGCUUAACACAUGCAAGUCGAACGGAAAGGCCCUGCUUUCGUGGGGUGCUCGAGUGGCGAACGGGUGAGUAACACGUGAGUAACCUGCCCUUGACUUUGGGAUAACUUCAGGAAACUGGGGCUAAUACCGGAUAGGAGCUCCUGUUGCAUGGUGGGGGUUGGAAAGUUUCGGCGGUUGGGGAUGGACUCGCGGCUUAUCAGCUUGUUGGUGGGGUAGUGGCUUACCAAGGCUUUGACGGGUAGCCGGCCUGGGAGGGUGACCGGCCACAUUGGGACUGAGGUACGGACCAGACUCCUACGGGAGACAACAGUGGGGAAUAUUGCACAGUGGGCGGAAGCCUGAUGCAGCAGCGCCGCGUGCGGGAUGACGGCCUUCGGGUUAUAAACCGCUUUCGCCUGUGACGAAGCGUGAGUGACGGUAAUGGGUAAAGAAGCACCGGCUAACUACGUG